ACCCAGUUUGUGAGUAGCACAGUGACCUUACUGAAUUGUAGUUUUCUCUUCCUUCUCUUCAGGCUCGUCUGAUAUGUAACAACUUGACAAGUCACCAGAUGUCCAGGAUGAGCUGUAAAUGCUCAACUAUCCAGGGGAGGCAGUGUGGUAUACUGGAAACAGAGGACAGACGUGAGAUGUGUCACCAUAAAUCCCCUAAACCUCGUCAACCUUCUGGGGAAGCCUUGAUGGGAUUUCAGACCACAUCUUCAGGUUGUCUUGGUGGGGUAAAAAGAAACCUGAGCCAGAAACUCUGGAAAGGCGCUGGUAGGUUUGUACCUUAGCUCAGUUUUUUUCUGCUGUUUGAACUUCUCCAAACCCCAAAUUCAAAGUGGGAUUCAUAGAAGUUGGGUAGCUUUGGCAAGAUCCCUCUGAAAACUCAGAAAACCCUUCGGGUUUCCCAAGAUGCCUAAUACACAAGGGGAAGGAUUCACAUAUGGGACUCAACAAUUAUAACUGCC
rnacentral:lncRNA from 1 species